rnacentral:rRNA from 1 species
GAUGAACGCUGGCGGCGUGCCUAAUACAUGCAAGUCGAGCGAACGGACGGGAAGCUUGCUUCCCUGAUGUUAGCGGCGGACGGGUGAGUAACACGUGGAUAACCUACCUAUAAGACUGGGAUAACUUCGGGAAACCGGAGCUAAUACCGGAUAAUAUUUUGAACCGCAUGGUUCAAAAGUGAUUGACGGUCUUGCUGUCUCUUAUAGAUGGAUCCGCGCUGCAUUAGCUAGUUGGUAAGGUAACGGCUUACCAAGGCAACGAUGCGUAGCCGACCUGAGAGGGUGAUCGGCCACACUGGAACUGAGACACGGUCCAGACUCCUACGGGAGGCAGCAGUAGGGAAUCUUGCGCAAUGGGCGAAAGCCUGACGGAGCCACGCCGCGUGAGUGAUGAAGGUCUUCGGAUCGUAAAACUCUGUUAUUAGGGAAGAACAUAUGUGUAAGUAACUGUGCACAUCUUGACGGUACCCAAUCAGAAAGCCACGGCUAACUACGUG